rnacentral:RNase_P_RNA from 1 species
GAGAGGGAGAGUGCGGCUGACGGUAGCGUUUAAUAACGCAGCUGAGGAAAGUCCCUCCACCAACCGGGUACGCAGCCCUGUUCAAUCAGGGGUGGUGAGAAUCACGGCAAUGGACCAGAAACGAUACGGAAUGUCCGGAGUAAUGAUGCAGUACUGCAGAACUAAGAUGGACAUCACUGAUGAAACGGCGAAUCCCUGCGGGUGCAAAUCGAAACAGGGCAUAUAGAUAACCCGGUAUCUGCCCGGGUUCGAUGCUUAGCUGAAUGCCGCAAUGAACAGAAGGGGGCUUACUCCUCCCACUC